rnacentral:rRNA from 1 species
UACGGAGGGUGCAAGCGUUGUCCGGAUUUAUUGGGUUUAAAGGGUGCGUAGGCGGCUUUUUAAGUCAGCGGUGAAAGACUUCAGCUCAACUGAAGUACUGCCGUUGAUACUGAAAGGCUUGAGUAUUGACGAAGAGGGCAGAAUUGAAGGUGUAGCGGUGAAAUGCAUAGAUAUCUUCAAGAAUACCGAUUGCGAAGGCAGCUCUCUAGGGAAUAACUGACGCUGAGGCACGAAAGCGUGGGUAGCAAACAGG